rnacentral:rRNA from 1 species
UACGUAGGGUGCGAGCGUUGCCCGGAUUUAUUGGGCGUAAAGGGCGCGUAGGCGGUCACGCACGUCCGUUGUGAAAUCGCUCGGCUCAACUGGGCGGGGUCAGCGGAUACGGCGUGGCUGGAGCAAGCUAGGGGGCAACGGAAUUCCCGGUGUAGUGGUGGAAUGCGUAGAUAUCGGGAGGAACACCAGUGGCGAAGGCGGUUGCCUGGAGCUUUGCUGACGCUGAUGCGCGAAAGCGUGGGGAGCGAUCCGG